rnacentral:rRNA from 2 species
UGAACGCUGGCGGCAUGCUUUACACAUGCAAGUCGAACGGACUUUUGGGGCUUGCUCCAAAAGUUAGUGGCGAACGGGUGAGUAAUGCAUCGGAACGUACCGUGUGAUGGGGGAUAACUUUCCGAAAGGAAGGCUAAUACCGCAUACGCCCUGAGGGGGAAAGUGGGGGAUCGCAAGACCUCAUGUCAUACGAGCGGCCGAUGUCGGAUUAGCUAGUUGGUGCGGUAAAGGCGCACCAAGGCGACGAUCCGUAGCGGGUCUGAGAGGACGACCCGCCACACUGGGACUGAGACACGGCCCAGACUCCUACGGGAGGCAGCAGUGGGGAAUCUUGGACAAUGGGCGCAAGCCUGAUCCAGCAAUGCCGCGUGGGUGAAGAAGGCCUUCGGGUUGUAAAGCCCUUUUGUCAGGGAGCAAAUCCUUGCAGCUAAUAACUGCCG